UCGAGACCUGGUUGCCCCAGAGACGAGAGAAUCCACAUGUAGUGGUGCUAAUGUGACCUUGCCUCAAGGUUAUUUCUGAUUGGUGAAUAAAGAUAGCAACAGCCAAUAGCUGGGCAGAAGAGACAUAGGUGGGUUUUAGGGUUUUCGGGCUUGGGGGUCGGAGGAGAACCACAAGGGGGAGAAGAAGGUGAAUGGAAGAGAAAGAUGGUUUAGAUAAUGUGGCCCUGUGGGCUGGCCUAUUGGAGGAGACCAGGGUGUUUGGUGGCCCUGAAGAAGGAAGUUAGGUCCCCGAGCGACGAGAGACGCUGAGCAGAGCUUCAAUGCUAGAACUGAAUGGUGAUGUAAACAAGGCCUGGACCACUCAGGCUGAUGAGGCUGGGGGCUUGCUCUGACUCCUGCUUCCUCUCACAAAGCCUAAAGCCUGAGAAGCAGGUCUCCCCACCUCCGCUAGGCUCUCUCCUUUGUCCUCCCAGUGCAGAUCAAACUGUCACCGUCCUCUCCAUAAAGCUGCCAAGGUUCCCUGGUCCUCGGAAGUCUCUUCUCCACUUUCCCCCUUUUCUUCCACAUUGGCAUCCUCAGGGCCUGUCCUGGCUAGUUUUGCUUUGUCAAACUUGGCACAAGCUAGAGUUAUCCCGGAUGAGGGGACCUCAGUUGAGAAAUUACCUCCAUCAGGUAGACUGGCCUGUGUGCAAGCCUGUGCCGGUUGUAUAUGCUCGGCUCAGGGAGUGGCUAUGUUAAGAGUGGCCUUGCUGAGGUGGGUGUGGCCUUGCUGAGGUGGGUGUGGCCUUGCUGGAAUUGGUGUGUCACAGUGGGCAUGGGCUUUAAGACCCUCAUCCUAGCUGCCUGGAUGUCAGUAUCUGCUAGCAGCCUUCAGAUGAAGCUGUAGAACUCUCAGCUCCUCCUGCACCAUUGCCUGCCUAGGCGCUGCCAUGCCCCCCCCCCCCCUUGAUGAUACUGAACUGAAACUCUGAACCUGUAAGCCAGCUCUAAUUAAAUGUUGUCCAUAUAAAA